rnacentral:lncRNA from 1 species
ACAAAGCUGAAAUACUCAAGCAAGAGGAAAUUCAAUUUCACAAAGCAAUACGAACCCAAACUCAACUGGGGAAGAAAAAAAUUCAACACAGGAGUAAAAGAGAUAUAUUAUCUACCACCAGUUACUGGGUAGGUGAUAACACUGAAAUUUACGUAUUUUCGACUCUGAUUUCACAUGCAUUCUGGUUGUUUUAUUGUCAUUUUGUUGUGUUAUUUCUAUGUUUU